AGAUAGGUGGAUUACAGCGGCCUCAGAGAUCAGGCAAUGCAAAUCAGUGAAAGGGAAGAUGAUCAUGAGAAGAGAGAAGAUCCAGGCGAUAACUGGGAAGAAGGUGGAGGAGGUGCUGGUGGUGUAGAAAAGUCUUCAGGUCCCUGGAAUAAAACAGCUCCGGCCCAAACACCUCCUGCUCCUGUAAUUGUUACAGAAACUCCAGAACCGGCAAUGACUAGUGGUAUGUAUAGGCCUCCUGGGGCCAGAUUAACCACAACGAGAAAAACACCACAAGGACCACCAGAAAUAGACAGCGACACACAGUUCCCAUCCCUGCAGUCAACUGCCAAGCACCUAGGAAGUUGGAAGGAUAAAGAAAUGGAGAAGAGCCUUGAAAUAGUAAGACACAGAAAUAGAGGCAGGGAUGAGGUUUCCAAAAACCAGGCCCUUAAACUCCAACUAGACAACCAGCAUGCUGUGCUUGAGAAUCAGAAAAGCAGCCACUCACAGUACCAGUAAGGAAUGGUCUUUGCUAGCCCUUCCCAGGUAACUAGACCACAGCCAACACCUCGAACAGCCACUUGUCAUCCGCUCUCUGCUGGAUCUACAGAUUGAUGCAGACCACUUGAUCUCAGUGACCGACCAUGUUGCACUGUGGAGGUUAAUGUGUUACGACUGUCUUUGUGUAUUGAAUUUGAUUUUCAUGGCUAUUUAAAUGUGUGAACUAGGUGCAACAGUGUUCUUUCAUAAUUGCUCUGUGAAUACAAAAACCAAAACCUUCAGCCAGUGGUCAUUUUAAAAUCUUUUUAUGUUCAGAUAUUGAGCCUCCAUAAGAGUUGACUACCUC